rnacentral:lncRNA from 1 species
UUUUGAAAAUCAUUGCUACAUUUUGGCUGUUCUGGGGUUUUUACCUCCUAGAGUAAUGAAAGAUGGUAAAAUCUAGGAGGCAUGAAAUAAGAUGUAAAUUGGGGAAGAAAAAAGAAGAAAAGUUAGGAAAAGAGGCAGAACUCAACUACAUGUUCCUUCUUCAGCAGAUCAAUUUUGUUUCUGUGCACUUAAGAGAGUUGAAGAUCUGAAACUCGAUUCCUUUAAAACAUCACUUUUUGUGUACUCUUGAGGAAGAAUGAACCCCCCAGGGUAUUCAUACCUUACCAGUAUAAAGAAUGAAGAUAUUCACUAUUUCAGAUGAUAUUCUCAGACACCAAAGGUUAUACUUUUACUUCCUUCUUAAUAGCAUACAUAAAUUUUGGAAGCACUGCAUUACAGUAAAGGGUCUCUGAAAUAAUCUUCCUUCAAGAGCAAAGAAAGUUUGUCUCGUCUACUUAAUUAAAUUCUCCAGAAUAACUCCUGGUGCUUUCCAAAUAUAUGUAAGUAAUAAAACCUUGUGGAAUGGGUGAGUGAAAGUUACGGAGAAUAAAUGUGAUGCAUAAACACCUAGUUCAAAUUUGGUCAGCUUUCUGUUCAUCUGCCAGUUUCUUCUAAGGGCGUCAGAACCUUGGUCCUAAUAGGCAGUUCAGCCGCCAUUUUAGAACUGUAGCAGGGAAGUAAGUGAGACUGUUCCUGCUGGUUUUGAUGUCUGGCUGGGGCUCCAAAGCAGAGCACAGUGGGUGUUAAAUGCCCACACAUUCUAGAAAGGUGCUAGACCAUCUAGGCAGAAUUUGUUGGAAGGUGGCCCAAAUUGGUUCCAAACAUCUAACCUAUCACCACCUCCAGCCUAUACAUAAAAGGAGGCUAGUAAAUUAAUGGGUGAGAACUGACAAAUGAAGAUUUCCUUAAGAAAAAUUUUGGAGUGCUAUUUUUUUUUCCUCUCCCAUUUCUUGGAGGGGGCAGGGGGCGGAGAAUGUGCUCUUCUUCAACUUAAGCCAAAUAAAUAGGACUCCAAGAGAAUCAUCCGAAGGGUGGGGAGGUAUAAACACUCAUGCCUGACUCUCACUGUAAAAGAAAUAGCUCAAAGCUGUCUGGUGUUAGCUGAGAAGCAGAACAAAGAGAGAGGGCUCCAUAGGGGAUGGCUUUUAUUUCCAGUGUUUGCUGGAAAAAGAUAUGAGUUUUUCCUUAGAUUAAGAGGUUGUUGAGUAAUGUAGGCAAGCUGGAGCCUGGAUGGCGUGACUCCAAGAUCUGUGUGGGACAUUUGCAAGAAGAGAGCAGCUGGAGAGGAGAAUGUGGGAGAUAUUUGAAGAAAUUUCAAGAGAGAAUAUUGAUAUUUAGGCACCGGCCUUCCAGAGAGCUACAAUUUUCACUUUAAAACAGUACCAGUCAAGUAAGAACUUUCUCUCCUUUUACCUCCUCUUCUUCUCACCAACCUCCUUCCACCCUUGAAAAUAUAGGAAUGAUGACCUAGAAGCACCAGAGCAAAUGUAGGAGUGUUGGAACAUGGAGAGUAAAAAGGCCCCCACUUCCCACUUUUUGUUACAGGUUUUCUAGCAAUGGCGUCUGAGGUGUGAGAGAAGUUUUGAUUGGGUAUGAGACUGGAACUAUAGUAUUAGAUUUCACUGGAUAUUUAAUACUUGAAAAUGGGACUUUCUUAACAAUGAAGGUGGCCAGAAAACAUUCAGAUCUGAUAUGAUUUUCUGUUGGUGAUGGGAGAUCUAAUAGCAAGGAAUUGUGAGAAACUAUAGUCAUUUCCUGUUGAUUGUUCCAUGUUUAACUCAAACUGGUUACAUAACAAUACCCAAUAUGUUCUUUUUUUAACCCAAGAUUUCAAAAUGAUUUGUUGAGAGCUCAUUCAUAUCCUCUAAUGUGAACUUCUUUAUAACCAAUUUUAAUGAACUAUGCAGUAGAAUCUGAUGUGAGUAUCAAAAGGAACAGAGAAGUUAUACUUCAGUGUAGGAAGAGAGAAUGUCAGCCCACUGCCUUAACUCAGUUGGCAUUUUGAAGAAAAUUGACAGAGCCCACCUCCAGAUUUUAUUGGGGUGGGGGAAAGAAGAGAAAAUGGAAGAUAUGUUUUAAACCACUUUUGGCAGGAAAAGUCAUUUCCCUAUUUAGAGUCUGGAAUAAAAAUGUAGUUCCCAUUAAGUAAUUUUUACUUACUUCUGUAUAACCCAAUUAAACACCCCUCAUAUUCCCACUCUCCUGCAGUAACUCAGAUACGACUUAAUCCAAUGUCAUGUGGGCACCGUGCUUCUACGUUUUCGUCUUAACUUUCUAAAUUCCCAAAUUCUUCAUCUCACUAGCUUCAAGUGAAUUUUUCAGUGGGAAAGUACUCUGAAUAAUAUGUAAUAUUUCUUGUGUGUUGCCUUUGUGACAACUUGUUCUAAGCACUUUAUGUGUAUUACUUAUAUUACUAUAACUUCUAUACUAUAAGUUAUUACUAUAACUUCUAUUGUUGGUAUCAUUGUUAUUCUCAUUUAAAGAUGUUUCAGUAGAGGCACAGAAAAGCUGAAUAACUUUUAUUGCUGGUAAGUGUAGGGCCUGAAUUUGAAUCCAGGCAUCUUGCUCUAGAGCCCUAACAUUUUCCAAUCUCAUUAUAAACUGCCUAUAAAAGAAACUUGCUUUUCCAUUCCAGGUUGACAGGCAGGGUGGCAACACAUAUAAAAAGCAUCUUAGGUUCCACUAGUCAAUCUCUUUUUGGAGUAGCUUCCACUGGAAUUCUAUAGGUGUUGAUUCAUUUUUACAUAACCAAUGUCUGUAAACCUGAAGAUCAAAUUCUUAUGGUAGGAAAUAAGACAGUUUUAAAGAUCAAAUUUCCAAGUUCAGGGACCAUGAAAUGUCAAUUGAAAACCAGGAGUAAUGAGCUGUAAAGAUAAAUCAAUACAUGGAAAGACAGGAUGAGUAUUUUAAGCAGCUGAAAUAACUUGUACUUACACAAAAAGGAAGAAAAUAUCUGACCACAUCAGACUGUAUUUUCCUGAGAUCGCUGCAAAAAUCUCUCUCAUUCCACCAGCUCUACUACCAUAAGUUUGGAAAAUAUAAUCUGCCACAUUGACCUAAAUGUUAAAAAAUAAGCAAUAAUUACCAAGUUCCUUACAUCUCCCUUCAUAGGAAAAACUCGGAGUUUAUAAAUUUCAGAAGCUUAACACCCAUAUUGUAAAAUUUCCCUUUCAUAUUAUUGAUGUUGCCAGCACCCUCUUAAUGCCAUUUCUUUUGCUGUGCCAAUUAUUUUUCAAUGACAGUGACAUAAGAAGUAAUGUGCCAUCUGCAUGGCCUUUUACUGCAUUAUGUUCUCCUAGGAUAGUCUUCUAGGGCCUUUGUGACUCCUGCUUCCUGGGAGCCAUUCUAGACUCUUCUCUGAGUGCCAUGCUUCUUCCCCAGCAUCCUACUUCUCCAGCCCCCCUACCAUUCUAGCUGUGUGGGCUACCCCAUCCUGCUAACUGGAAGAUGGAUUUCUAUUAUCAAACAUAAUUUAUUUCAAGGAAGAUAGGGUACCAUUUAGAAACCUAUCUUUUUGGUUAUACUGCAAAUCUCAAUUUGUUGUCUAUUAACUGCCAGGAGUAUACUCAUACUGCAAAUCUCAAUUUGUUGUCUAUUAACUGCCAGGAGUAUACUCAUCUCUCUAAAAGGUUAUUAUUGGGGAAAGGGGUCUUUCCUCUUCAGGUCCACACAGCAGCAGCUCUCUAAUGAAGUUUUGAAAUAUGAGCUGUGAAGGAGCCAGAGGCAGUGAUGGUGCUUUACUGGCCAGCAGUUGUUAGUUUCUCAGUGGUCUAAAGGGAAAUAUCCAAAAACCAACCUGACUUAUGGAGAACUGUGAGAAAAAUACUCUUAACACUUUAAGGUGGCAAUGCCAACAUUCAAUGGCCUCUCCCUCCCCUUUGAGGAAGCUUCCUGGCGCCAGGGUGACAGAAUGAGAUGUAUGAGGUCUGGUUUAGAUGUCUUCCAAGCUGGCCUUUUGUCUGCUAUCCCAGCAUCACAAAAAUAACUUAGGGUGAGAAAUUUACAGGCCAGCAUGUAAAUUCCCUCAUUACUUUAUUAAAUAGUUUGAAAGGAACAUGAUUAAGAAAUUAAAUUCAAUCGAAUGUUACUGUAACUGGUUUUUCAUGAUAAGCGUUUUUCUUAAUGUUAACAGAAGGCUGAUCCUUUGUGUGGAUUGAAUUGUGCCCCCUAUAAGACAUGUCCAAUUGCUAACCCCCAGCACCAGUGAAUGUGAGCUUAUUUGAAAAUAAGGGUUUUGCAGAAAUACUCAAGUUAGCAUGAGGUCAUACUGGAUUAGAAUGGGCCCUAAAUCCAGUGACUGGUGCCCUUAUAACACAAGGAGAGAACACAGAAAGACAUACACAAAAGGCACAUGGAAAUUGGAGUGAUGCAGCUAUAAGCCAAGCAAGGCCAAGGACUAUGAGCAACCCCAGAAACUACACAGAGUUAGGGGAAGGAUUCUUCUAGAGCUUUCAGAGGAGCAUACCCCUGCCAACACCUUGAUUUUGGACUUCUUUUAGUCUCUAGAACAGUGAGGGACUAUAUUUCUGUUGUCAUAAGCCAUCCAGUUUGUGGCAAUUGUUACAGCAGCCCAAAGAAACUAAUGCAGCCCUAUAUAUGAAAAAUAUGGUAAUAACCUUACAUUUUUUUUCAAGGAGAAAUAAAUAUAGUAGCUUAGAACACAGAUUCUGAAACCAAACUUACUGGGUUUAAAUCCCAUCUCUGCCAGUUACUAGCUAUAUGAAAUUGAGCAACUUAACCUCUCUCUUUCUCAAUUCCUUCAUCUUUAAGUGGGGAUAAUAAAAGCGUAUAGAUUAUAGGGUUGUUAUGAGUAUUUUAAAAGUUAAUAUUUGUAUAGAACUUAGAACAGGACCCUGCACAUAUUAAAUGCUAUAUAAGUGCAUAAGUGCUUUUUCAUUUGGUAGGGUCUUUCCAAUAUAUUCCCUCAUAGCCACCCCUGAAAAAUGUUUUUCCACCACAAAAUCUUACCUUUGUUUGCCUAUUACCCCUUCGGUAAUUUCUCUUAACAUUAAACUCUAUCAAACUUAGAGUUAACUAAUCUUGAAACAAAUUUAUGACAUGUUCCUGCUAUUUAAUUAUUGCAAAAAAUAAGCAGAAAUGUAUUUAUUUGUUGAGUGUUUAUCAAGCAUCUACUGCACACCAAUUUUUGUGUUUGAAAAAAAUAAAUUCAUACUCUAUAAUAAUAGAGUCUAUAGUCUAGUGGAAAUAUUGAAUGUUGGAGUAAUUCACUAUAUACAUUCUCCUUUGAUAUGAAUACUUACUUGAAUUACUGGAAGCAGAAACAUUAAAAUUUAUAGAAUUCAACAUUAUUUGAAACUUUGAUUGCAUUUUGUAUUUGCAAACACGUCUUCCAUCUUUUCACAUCCUACACCUUGCAUUUUGCUACUCCUCAGAUCCUGUUUCAGGAGGAUAUGCCACUCUUAUUUACAGAGAGGAACUGGAGUCUUGGCUUAGACCAAAUGUAAAGGAGUCUCCCCUUAUCUGUGGGGUCACUUUUCUGAGUUUUCACUUACCUGUGGUCAACACAAUCCGAAAAUAGGGAGAACAGUACAACAAGAUAUUUUGAGAGAGAACACAUUUAUAUAACUUUAAUUACAGUACAUUGUUAUAAUUUUCUAUUUUCUUCUUUGAUAUUGUUAAUCUCUUACUGUGCUUAAUUUAUAAAUUAAACCUUAUCAUAUGUAUGUACAUUUAGGGAAAACAUGGUGUAUCUAGGGUUCGGUACUACUUGCAGUUUCAGGCAUCCACUGGAGAUCUUAGAAGGUAUCCCCUGUGGAUAAGGGGGGAUUACUAUACUAUCAUUUCUUAUCAGUUUGAUAUUCAAUGGUUUCUCUUUGAGAUGCUAAAAUGUUAAAUGAGUUUUUGCAUAUUAAUUAAGUCUAGCCACACAAAUCAGAAGAAACUAGGAAUGGGACACAUGGAAAUAGGUGACACCUGCCCCAGCUUUCUAUCUGGUAUAUUCCUUAUUUUUAGAUAUGAAAAUAUCUUUUUUUGUGUCAGGACCACUGAUUAGCAAUGACACAAAAAAUUAGAGCUUUUAGUGAUCACUGAAGUUAUUUCAGUAUGCUUUGACUAAGGAUUUGUGUCCCUCCCCAGUGAAUUUGGGGAGGGAUGGUCCCUUCUGUCCGUUUGUUUAAUACCCCACAUUUCUCUGAGAAGUCCUAUCAUUUUGAUCAUUUCUAAUUUAAACGGAAGGACACCCUUUGUGCAUUCUUUUCUCGUUGCUGUUUCCAACAGCAGUGGUUUAAAUGGGAAGGCUGAGACUAUAGAUUCCACCACAUCACUUGAAAUGCCAACUUGGCAGUAAUCAUUUUAUUCUUUUUAGUUCAGAACAUGUAUUUUAAAAAUGAAUGGGUAUUGACUAGUUAACAACUAGAGAUUUUUUUUCCAGGAAACAAUUUCCUAGACUUUAAACCAAAAUUUGGAGCUCAAGAAACACUAAAGAAGACAGUACUCUAUGUAAAGUAGUUAUUAAUUGGGGUUUCACUGUAGGUCUAUAUGCAAAUCUUAACUUUUAACCAAAAAAUAUAUAACAAUAUAAAGUGCAAAAAGUUUAAGCUUUACACAGAAAAUGUAUGAUACAAAAUCACUUUUAACUUAAAAGGCAGUUUAAAGUUUAUCUGUGAAGAAAGAGAAACAUUUUGUACAUAAAUCCUCCCAGUUUUCAUUGACAAUGAUGGUGUUAUUUAAGCAUCCCUGUAAUUAAAUGUCACUUUAAAAAUAAUGGACGUGUCAGGGUAUCUUUUUAAAUGGAAAAAAAGUAUAUUUUUGUAGUAUUAACAGAAGUAAUACUCAACCAAGAUUUCCCAAAUUACAGAAUAAAAUUAAUAUCUUCUUUUUUUCCCCCAGCAGUGAUCUCUUUUCUAUGAUUCCUUUUCUGUGAACAUUCAGGACUAUCUGAACGAAAUGGGACCCCCAUCUCCUGCCACUUCUGGAGAACAAACAACCCACUCAAAACCAUUUACCCAUCAUCACUGUCCAGAUCAUUGCACAGGGUGGGUUUAUAUGAUAUGCCCACUCUGAAAAUGUGGCUAAGUAUUCCAAUCAUAGCUGUUGCCAGUGUUUCCCACCAUUGCUGUAUACUCUUAGUAAAUGGUAGUUGUUAAAAAUAUAAAAUAGGCUUGCUUCAUGAGAAGAAGAAAGUACUUUCUCUUGUAAAGUUCCUUUAAGCAUUGGCAUAGUAAGUGUUCCUUUUCUCAUUGAUACCAUAGUUUUUUUACUGUGUUUUGUUUUGCUUUCUUCAGAUUUUAAAGGAAAAAUAAGGUGAUGUUGCUGAUUUUCAGAAAUAUUUUCAGCUUCAGAUAUCUGUGAUAAAAAUGAGAAAAAAGAAGUGGAUGUUCUGUCAGAAGGUAUUGGUGAGAUAGGAGACCCAGAAUUGGGAGAAGCAGCUUAGAUGGAGAGCAACUUAAAUGGGAGAAGUGAUGAACAUGCGUGAGAAAAAAGUGACUCUGCUCCCUUUGUGAUCGGGGCGAACAUGACUAACUGAUCCAGGAAUUUGUUUCAUUUGGUCACGAAUGGGCUUUGCAAAUCCUUCCUAAUGACAUGACAGUGUCACCUACUGGCAAAGCAGGACCCUAUGAGGCAUCUAAAGGGAGAUUUAGCCAGAUAUGUUGUUUAUCAGAAGCCAGGUGUAGUCCCAGCUACUUGGAAGGCUGAGGCAAGAGGAUCACUUGAGACGUUCAAGGCUGUAGUGCACCAUGAUUGCCCCUUGUGAAUAGCCACUGAACUCCAGCCUGAGCAACAAAGUGAGACCUCAUCUGUAAACAAACAAACAAAACUGCUCCUGAAUUUCAAUGUCAAUUUAUUGUAGAAAUCUUAAAAACUUAAUCCUCCUAAAAUAAUGCUGUUUUUAGGGGCAACACAUAAUUGUGUACAAUUUCAUGUUUCUUUUGAAGUGAUAAUUAAAAAUAAUUGAAACAGUUAUUAAAGAAUAAAGACAUUGUGACAAAGAAAUGACCGGGAACCACAUAAAGCAAGAUAUUUUGUACUUUCAAAUAAUGCUGAUUUUUAGGGCUAACAAGUUUCAGUAGUAGCUUAAUAAAUAUACAUUAAGAAAUGCCCUUUCUGAAUUCCAUUUUAUGAUGUUCAAGUACAAAAAAUAUUCAUCCAUUGCGACUUUGAACUGUGAAAUGGUCAAUGAAGAGGUGAGCGGCACUUAACUUGAAGCUAAUGUCUCAUCGAAUUGUUCGAACUUCACUCCUUGGUCAUAAGGUUUUCCAGAUCCAGAGCAAGGUAGCCAUAUGGCAUUGAUAUUCGAAAUACAAAGCCAAGUAUCGGUUUUAAAAACAGUAUUAUUGAUUUUUUUCUUCUUUUCCAAUUUUCUCUUUUUGAAAUUGUGCUGCUACAAAUUUGAAUUUUAAAAUGUCUUAUUUUUCAAAUUUGUAUUGUUUCAUCUAUUGAAUGGUUUUUACUUUAAGGAAGUUCAGAAAGUUUUUAUGUUCUCAGCCAUUCUUUUUUAUAGAAAAUAUCUUAAAAACUGAAAAGCCUCUGAAAGGCUCAGGUGAACGAAAAUAGAAAAAAAAGUAUCUAUCUCACUCUUCUUUUUAAUUCCUCUUUAAUGCUUCCCUUACAAAUAUAUUGGAAAGAAAACUAUUUAGGUGGUACAAGGCUUCUCCCUGGUUUCAUUUUUCUUGCUCGUAUAUACAAUUAAUUAUUUGUGGCAGCAUUAUUUUUACUUUGGAGCCCUGAUUUCCCACAAUUAUUGGUCUGAUGGAGCUCAGACCUGUGUUUCAGAGUUAAAUACUCUUCCAAGAAUUUCCACAUUAUAAAACUCCCCAACCAGCACUAAACUGUACACAUAAAAAUUGUAAAAAUGGUAAAUUAUAUAUGCAUAUUGUACCUUACAAUUUUUUUUAUAAAAAAUAAAGAUUUUUUUAAAAAAAACAAACAAAUACCUCCUGCCCCACAAAAAAAAUUUCUCACCCCAUCCAAGUACCAGUCACUAGACUCUAACAAACAGUUCGGAAUUCAACUGGUGUCCAAAAGGUUAACAACAUUACCAAGGUGAAGGAACCAAAUCGGUAUCAUACACUGGAGCCAUGGGGAAGCUUUUGGAACUAGGAUUUCUGAGAACUUUUUACCAUAUACAGCAGGGAAAUCUUUGUAAAAAGGAGGAAAUUGGUAUAGUAUAUUCUGCUGCUGGCACGAAACGUGUUUUUACCAAACUAAAGUAUCCUGUAGUUCAAAAAUGUUAUCACAAGAUUCCAUUUGUGUAUCUAUUUAAAGUUUUGGUAUAUUUUCAAUAAAAAUUAAUAAAAAUAUUUCUUCUCAUAAUAUGUGGUUUAAAUCCAGAUUAUUUCACAAUAUGUGGUUUAAAUCCAGAUUAUUUCACUGUAAUAUGUCUUGAUAGAGUUUUAGAAUAUUGAAAUAGGGUAUUAAGAUGCUUUAAAUCGAUUACUGAUUUGAACAUUGUAAGUGUAUAUUUCUAUUUGUGUGUGUGUGUCAUAUUCAAAUAUGAUUAAUCAUGUAUGUUGGUGUGUGAACAUAUGCAUAUAUAAAGCAUUUUUAUCAGCUGUUUCUGGCUUCAUACCACAG